rnacentral:tRNA from 1 species
GCCCCCAUCGUCUAGUGGCCCAGGACAUAGCCCUCUCAAGGCUAAAACCGGGGUUCGAGUCCCCGUGGGGGCACAA